GUUCGUGUACCUCAGUUGGAUAGAGGAACCGCCUCCUAAGCGGUCUGCCGUUGGUUCGACUCCAAUCACGAACGCCA
rnacentral:tRNA from 1 species